rnacentral:lncRNA from 1 species
AUCCGGCUGCAGCUCCUGCUGGAAAGAGGGGGGAGGAGGAGCUGGGGGGAGGAGAGGGGAAGAGGCGGAGGGAGAGGUCUUGCUGGGGAGGGAAGGGAAGAGGCUAAAGGUGAUUUGAACUUGUUUUUAGCCUUUUCCUAAUGACAUCUUCCUCUGUAGGAGUGCGUCGCCACCUUCCCCACAGGUUUAUUUUGCUUUCACUCCUCCGGGCACUUUCUAGUUCUGAGUUGUCAGCUGUGAGGAUUGGGUUUACCUCGCUCGUGUUGCUGUGGAUACUUCAUGAGUUAGCCUGGCACCUAUUCUUGUCCUCCUCCACCUCUUUGUCAACACAGAUGAUACCUGACUGCUCAUCCUUGAACGUGGUGCUGAUGUUUUACAGAUACUGGGAAAGCCUUCCAGUCUCUUAGUUUCCAGCAUAAGGAUGAGUGUUUUGGUCCUGAGCUCCUUUGGAAAUCUGCCAGAUGGUUGGUGUCUUCGCUCCAUUUAUGUUCUAUAUAUGAUUGAGGAAACCGCUUUGAAAACAUACACACGGUUUUCUCUAAUCUGCUUUAUUCCAAACGGAAAAUGAUUGGUCCUGCUGAAACCUUUUUUUUUAAUCAGGUAGAAGUUAUUCCUUGUAAUAAUUUUUAAGAGACUCGGAGCAGUUUGUUUACAUACACAGAUGUCUGAGACCAUACAAAGACACUUGGCCAGUCCUUUAGUUAGAAUAUGAGGCUCAGUGCAAGUUCCUGUUGAUACUGAAAUUCACAGCAACACUGAAUUUGAAGAAUGUAAGCUUUCUUACUGGACAAAUUCUACCCCCAUCAUGUGAAUACAAAUCCUGCUGACAUCACCCAUUACCCAAGAGUGAUAAUUGGUUAUUGGAACUAUCUUGGGAACAUAUUUCUGAACCCCUGUUUUGUUAGAUCUUGAGAAAAAGAAAACUGUCAUGAAGAAAAUGUCAUGGUAGUAUAAGUGCACUUGCAGCAAAGCCAGAAGGUGUCAAAAGCAUCUUCUGAAUUUAAAUAUAUCAUGUGUAAGUACAUGUGAAGGUCACCAAGUAUUAGGAAUUGAGUAGAGUGGUGUUGAAGGGAAAGUGGAAAGGGAAGCAUUUAUUACUUCAGAAUUCCAAUAAUAGCAGCUGUGGUUGAGGCUGCUGUGCUCCUUGCUCUGUGUGGCAAUUCCACUGUGCUGGCCCUCAGAAGAUUCAGAAUUAUUGCCAGUCAUUAGCUUGGAUGAAACCCAGAUGUCUGCAUUUGAGGUGGGCUAAUCCUGUGCAGGAGAAAUUGCACAGCAGUCCUGCUGGAAAGCACCCGGGGGUUCUGGGGUGGAGGUGCAGCUAGGCUGGACGUGACUCAUCAGGCUCUCGCUCUGCAUGAA